GGAUGUGUAGCUCAGUGGUAGAGUGCUUACCUAGUGUGUGUGAAGCCCCUAAGUUCAAUUCCCAGCACCCCCA
rnacentral:tRNA from 1 species